UUUGACAAUGGAAGGAUUGUGAAGGAAACAGGAUUUUUCCGGACAUUUGCCAUCGUUCAGUGAAACAAUAAAUCAGUACGUUUCGAGAUUUGCACAUUUCGUAAUCUAAUGUGCUUCUAUUAAACCAAUUUCAAUGCAGUUUAGCAAAAAAUAGCUUUUAUUUAUCGCAGAGUUAACAUUGGGUAGGUAAAUUAAUUUUCCCAACUUAGCAAUUACAGUCAUGGCAACUAAAACAUUAAUUUGUUUUCGAAACAAUAAGAAAAAAUAAUUUUUAGUCUAAAACUUAAGUGUUUAUUUUUUAAAUCUCUGAUUAUUAUACUAAUUAUGAAUUUUUAGAAACAAAAUAGUGUUACUGCUUUAAAAUCUAUGAAUGUUAAGAACUUUAACGCUUAAGCUCUCAAGUGGUAGCUCGACAGUGUGUAAUCUAAGAUUUAAAAUUGUGCCACACUACUAAGAUUGAAAAUCUUAGAUACCAAACACAAAUUAAAUAAAACUGUAUUAAAUUAUUGAAAAUAAUUAAUUGUAUAUAAUUUUCUUUCAAUCUAUUCAAAAAUUUAUGAACACUGUACAAUUUUUCUCUAUAAAUUGAAGUACUGUAUUUUUAUUUUUGUUUCAUUACUUUUUUCUCUUUGUUAUUAAUGUCAUAUGGUACUGUUGGCAGUUUCCAUGUAUUAUUGUUUCUUCUCAGAGAAUGUUUUGGAGAAUUUGGUAAAAUUUCUUGAACUCUUUUUUAAUCCCUUGUUUGUGGUUUUAGAUUUUUUAAACACGAUUCACAAAGAUCCAGUAGCUCUUGAGUUUCUUUCAACCCGGAGCGGUUGUACCAGUGUCAUAGCUGCCCGAGAGCCUACGUCAACCAUGAAAGUCUAGUGAGGCACACAAAGCUGGAGUGUGGCAAAGUUCCUCAGUUUCCCUGUGAGUUCUGUGCUUACCGUGCGACGCAGCGCACCAACCUGGUGAGACACGUCCGCACCCGCCACCCGACUACACCGCUCACAUGAACUUUGGAGAAAAACCCUCACUGUACCACAGGCACCUUUUGUAACAAGGCAUUUUAUUAUUGUGUACCUUUAUUUUUCUUCAAUAAAUGCUGUAUGUUUUGUACUUUUUUAUGUUAUCUAUUCAGAUAAAAUCUUAUUUGAUGAUCAGAUGAUUUUGAACUAAAUGUUUCAUACUAAGUAAGAUAUUACCGUUCAACAAGACAACAUAUACUUGAACAAAGGUCUUCUUCUCAAACAAAGCUGAUGUUUAAACUGUUUUGGUUAGUAAAUAUGAUUUGUUUCCUUGUUAUAGGGAAAUUUUAUAAAACAAGAAAAUCACAAAAAUAUCGAGUAAAAUAUAAUAAACAUAAAAAAUUGUAAUAUUCUACAAAAUCUGAAAAAUUGCUUUAUUGUAUCCAACACUGAGAUCAGGUUGUUGUUAACUGUUUUGUGAAGGAUAUUGCCUAAACAUUACAGAGUGAUAUAUACAUAAAUGAUAUUUAGAACAAAUAUAAAAUGUCAAGUAGCUUUAUCACUCUUCUAUGAUUAUUAACUGCACGAUUGCUGGUUGUAGCAGCAGACCUUAUGGAAUUUCUGCAGACACCGCUGCAGCCAAAGCCAUUCCCCUGUCCGCAGUGUCCCAGGUCCUACCGUCACAUGGAAAACUUGCAGCGACAUCUACGUCUAGAAUGUGGGAAACAGCCGCAGUUCCUCUGUCCGCAGUGUCCUUACCGUAGCAAGCAUCGCCAGAACUUGAACCGGCAUGUCUUCACCAAACAUGCUGCCAACUGACUACUUUCAAGUCAACAUUUGUAAAUAACUUCCUCAAUAAACAUUUUUAAAUUGCA